GGCUCCUUCUGUCAGAGGGAGGGGGCGUGGUAGCAAGCAGAGUCCUUUAGGGUCUCUCCUCGUGCGAUGUCUCACUUGAUCAUCACAGAUGAACCUGUGAGGUGAGGCAGGGUAGUCUCAUUUACAGAGAAAGAACUGGGGAUCAGAAAUAUGAAGUUGUUUGUUCAAGAUCUUACAUCCAGAUGACAUCAAAUCCACGUGUUUCCUCACCUGCCUCUUGAGCUGGAAGCAGUGUUAAAUGCUUUCCAUUUUUCUUCUCAACUCGGUUAUACUAAUUUUUACCCUCCUCUGGUUUGGAGCCAGACCUCUGGUGUCAUUCACAGCUGUUUCCACUACAGACUGCCC